rnacentral:rRNA from 1 species
GCUCAGGAUGAACGCUGGCGGCGUGCCUAAUACAUGCAAGUCGAACGCUUCACAUUUGUGAAGAGUGGCGAACGGGUGAGUAAGACAUAAGUAACCUGCCCUUUACAGGGGGGGACAACUGCUGGAAACGGCAGCUAAUACCGCAUGGAUACAGUCAUCGCAUGGAGGCUAUAUGAAAGCAGCCAAGGCUGCGGUAGAGGAUGGACUUAUGGCGCAUUAGCUGGUUGGUGAGGUAACGGCCCACCAAGGCGACGAUGCGUAGCCGACCUGAGAGGGUGGACGGCCACACUGGGACUGAGACACGGCCCAGACUCCUACGGGAGGCAGCAGUAGGGAAUUUUCGGCAAUGGGCGAAAGCCUGACCGAGCAACGCCGCGUGAAGGAAGAAGGAAUUCGUUCUGUAAACUUCUGUCAUAGAGGAAGAACGGUAUGUGUAGGGAAUGACACAUAAGUGACGGUACUCUAUAAGAAAGCCACGGCUAACUACGUGCCAGCAGCCGCGGUAAUACGUAGGUGGCGAGCGUUAUCCGGAAUUAUUGGGCGUAAAGAGGGAGCAGGCGGCACUAAAGGUCUGUGGUGAAAGCCCGAAGCUUAACUUCGGUAAGCCAUGGAAACCGUAGAGCUAGAGUGUGUGAGAGGAUCGUGGAAUUCCAUGUGUAGCGGUGAAAUGCGUAGAUAUAUGGAGGAACACCAGUGGCGAAGGCGACGAUCUGGCGCACAACUGACGCUCAGUCCCGAAAGCGUGGGGAGCAAAUAGGAUUAGAUACCCUAGUAGUCCACGCCGUAAACGAUGAGUACUAAGUGUUGGGGGUCAAACCUCAGUGCUGCAGUUAACGCAUUAAGUACUCCGCCUGAGUAGUACGUUCGCAAGAAUGAAACUCAAAGGAAUUGACGGGGGCCCGCACAAGCGGUGGAGCAUGUGGUUUAAUUCGAAGCAACGCGAAGAACCUUACCAGGUCUUGACAUCGAUCUAAAAGGGAUAGAGAUAUCCUCAUAGCUAUAGAGAAGACAGGUGGUGCAUGGUUGUCGUCAGCUCGUGUCGUGAGAUGUUGGGUUAAGUCCCGCAACGAGCGCAACCCUUGUCGCUAGUUACCAUCAUCAAGUUGGGGACUCUAGCGAGACUGCCGGUGACAAGCCGGAGGAAGGCGGGGAUGACGUCAAAUCAUCAUGCCCCUUAUGACCUGGGCUACACACGUGCUACAAUGGACAGAGCAGAGGGAAGCGAAGCCGCGAGGUGGAGCGAAACCCAGAAAACUGUUCUCAGUUCGGACUGCAGUCUGCAACUCGACUGCACGAAGUUGGAAUCGCUAGUAAUCGCGAAUCAGCAUGUCGCGGUGAA